rnacentral:tRNA from 1 species
GGGGGUAUAGCUCAGUUGGGAGAGCGCUUGAAUGGCAUUCAAGAGGUCAUCGGUUCGAUCCCGAUUAUCUCCACCA